AUUGAACGCUGGCGGCAGGCCUAACACAUGCAAGUCGAGCGGAUGAGAAGAGCUUGCUCUUCGAUUCAGCGGCGGACGGGGGAGUAAUGCCUAGGAAUCUGCCUGGUAGUGGGGGACAACGUUUCGAAAGGAACGCUAAUACCGCAUACGUCCUACGGGAGAAAGCAGGGGACCUCCGGGCCUUGCGCUAUCAGAUGAGCCUAGGUCGGAUUAGCUAGUUGGUGAGGUAAUGGCUCACCAAGGCUACGAUCCGUAACUGGUCUGAGAGGAUGAUCAGUCACACUGGAACUGAGACACGGUCCAGACUCCUACGGGAGGCAGCAGUGGGGAAUAUUGGACAAUGGGCGAAAGCCUGAUCCAGCCAUGCCGCGUGUGUGAAGAAGGUCUCCGGAUUGUAAAGCACUUUAAGUUGGGAGGAAGGGCAGUAAGCUAAUACCUUGCUGUUUUGACGUUACCGACAGAAUAAGCACCGGCUAACUCUGUGCCAGCCGCCGCAGUAACAC
rnacentral:rRNA from 1 species